GUUUGUUUUUGUCGCCUUUU
rnacentral:miRNA from 1 species